GACGAACGCUGGCGGCGUGCUUAACACAUGCAAGUCGAACGGAAAGGCCCUGCUCUUGUGGGGGGCUCGAGUGGCGAACGGGUGAGUAACACGUGAGUAACCUGCCCUUGACUUGGGGAUAACUUCAGGAAACUGGGGCUAAUACCGGAUAGGAGCUCCUGCUGCAUGGGGGGGGUUGGAAAGUUUCGGCGGUUGGGGAUGGACUCGCGGCUUAUCAGCUUGUGGGGGGGGUAGUGGCUUACCAAGGCUUUGACGGGUAGCCGGCCUGAGAGGGUGACCGGCCACAUUGGGACUGAGGUACGGCCCAGACUCCUACGGGAGGCAGCAGUGGGGAAUAUUGCACAAUGGGCGGAAGCCUGAUGCAGCAACGCCGCGUGCGGGAUGGCGGCCUUCGGGUUGUAGACCGCUUUCGCCUGUGACGAAGCGUGAGUGACGGUAAUGGGUAGAGUAGCACCGGCUAACUACGUG
rnacentral:rRNA from 1 species